CCUACGGGAGGCAGCAGUGGGGGAUAUUGCACAAUGGGGGGAACCCUGAUGCAGCGACGCCGCGUGGGUGAAGAAGCGCCUCGGCGCGUAAAGCUCUGUCAGCAGGGAAGAAAAUGACGGUACCUGAAGAAGAAGCCCCGGCUAACUACGUGCCAGCAGCCGCGGUAAUACGUAGGGGGCAAGCGUUAUCCGGAUUUACUGGGUGGAAAGGGGGCGCAGACGGCAAUGCAAGCCAGGGGUGAAAGCCCGGGGCCCAACCCCGGGACUGCUCUUGGAACUGCGUGGCUGGAGUGCAGGAGGGGCAGGCGGAAUUCCUGGUGUAGCGGUGAAAUGCGUAGAUAUCAGGAGGAACACCGGUGGCGAAGGCGGCCUGCUGGACUGCAACUGACGUUGAGGCCCGAAAGCGUGGGGAGCAAACAGGAUUAGAUACCCUUGUAGUC
rnacentral:rRNA from 1 species